rnacentral:tRNA from 1 species
GCCUAGCUGGCUCAGUCAGUAGAGCAUGUGACCAUUGAUCUCAAGGUUGUGAGUUCAAGCCCUAUGUUGGGUG